CGACAGAUUUGGAGUUCUUUCCACUGAACUACAGCCACUGCGAUGUUAACACAAAUAUUCCGAUUAAGACAAUCGAAUGUUUCAAUUCGAG